rnacentral:lncRNA from 1 species
AGAUCUCCAGGGCUCAAGCCUAUAAAACAAAAAAGAAGGUUCUCCUAGCCAUUCACGGGUCGCAUAGAGAACAAUAUGAAAAACUAUGGGAGUUUUAUAAUAUCAUUAAGAGGACUAACCUUGAUAGGGAAGGAUAACAACCCAUGUUUCAAAAGUGAUGUCUACCUUCAUGCUUGCAAGAUGAUCUUUUUUGAUGGAUAGAGAUCCAUUAUUAGCUUAGAUGGAUGCCAUUGGAAAGGAGCUAUGGGAGGAUAACUACUGUCAGCUAUUGGAAG